rnacentral:rRNA from 1 species
GAAGCGGGAUGAGCUCAAAUUUGUAAUCUGGCGGCCUCUGGUCGUCCGAGUUGUAGUCUGGAGAAGCGUCUUCCGCGUCGGACCGUGUACAAGUCCCUUGGAACAGGGCGUCGUAGAGGGUGAGAAUCCCGUCUUUGACACGGACUGCCGAUGCUUUGUGAUGCGCUCUCGAAGAGUCGAGUUGUUUGGGAAUGCAGCUCAAAACGGGUGGUAAAUUCCAUCUAAAGCUAAAUAUGGGCGAAAGACCGAUAGCGAACAAGUACCGUGAGGGAAAGAUGAAAAGCACUUUGGAAAGAGAGUUAAACAGUACGUGAAAUUGUUGAAAGGGAAACGCUUGAAGUCAGUCGCGUCUCCUGGGACUCAGCCUUGCUUCUGCUUGGUGUACUUCCUGGGACGACGGGCCAGCAUCGAUUUUGACCGUCGGAGAAAGGCCUUGGGAACGUGGCACCUUUGGGUGUGUUAUAGCCCUCGGUCGUAUGCGACGGUUGGGAUCGAGGACCGCAGCACGCCUUUUUGGCCGGGGUUCGCCCACGUACGUGCUUAGGAUGCUGGCGUAAUGGCUUUAAGCGACCCGUCUUGAAACACGGACCAAGGAGUCUAACAUGCCUGCGAGUGUUUGGGUGGUAAACCCGGACGCGAAAUGAAAGUGAAAAGUUGGGACCUCUGUCGUGGAGGGCACCGACGCCCGGACCAGACCUUCUGUGACGGUUCCGAGGUAGAGCAUGCAUGCUGGGACCCGAAAGAUGGUGAACUAUGCUUGAGUAGGGUGAAGCCAGAGGAAACUCUGGUGGAGGCUCGUAGCGAUUCUGACGUGCAAAUCGAUCGUCGAACU